GAACGCUCUUCCUAUCUCCAGUUUCUGUCUAAUUCUAAACCCAAAUGUGAACUGUUCCCUAACUCUUCAGAUAAUAAACAAGUGAAAGUGAGUCAUCUGUCAGCAGAGAGCUGUUUCUGUCUGCUGAACAAACUGAAAG